GGUUAUACGUUGACGGAGACAGUAUAGAAGGAUCCUCUGAUUAUAGCGAACUGGAAUAUGGUGUGAGCCCAGUACAGAAACUUCUAGAACAUCACUCCCGAGUAUUCAUUGCGAACAAAGAGUAGUAAUGAACGGUUUAUCCUCGUUACGGAUAUCGAGUGAAUUUAAAAUCGCUAUGGUUUUAAGUUUAUAAGGGUGGUACCGCGAGUCUUCUCGUCCCUUUU
rnacentral:ncRNA from 1 species